AAGGGAUGAAAAGAAAAGCGAAUAAAACCAUCACUCGCACUAGAAAAAAGAGGAACAAAUUGAUGGCUGAGAAAGAAGAGAAAUUUGAUCAGCAUGACCAAGAUUUUUUGUUUCAGAAACAGAAUAGUCUGGGAAUUCCAAACACACAAGAGCGAAAAAAAAGGAAGAAAAAGAAAAAGAAAAAGUGUAUUACAGAUACUGGAGAUACAGAAGUUAAAGCAUGGAGGAAAGAGAUGGCUAAGGAUUCCUUCUCGAUGUUAUAGCAAAGCCAGACAUGGGUCCAUUUCAGCAGGCAGCAUGGAUUGACAUUGAAAUGAAAAAUGUGAAUUAAAGCUAAAUAGAGAAAUGUAUUCAAGCCAUUUUUGUGUUGGAAUUAUGAUGUUAUUGUGUGUUAGUUUGGGAUGUUAGUGCUAAGAGAUGUCCAGCUAGAAGCAGGUAGUCAAAAAAAGCGUUAAAAAACAAAAGGUAGCGAUGUAGAAAUGUUUUCUUAUGAAGGUCAGGUUUUAUGACCCAAAGCAGGGUAGCUUUAUAAAUGGGCAGGUAGAGGGGAGUCAUUAGAACUACUUCAGCAGUGUGGAUAUGGGGUACUUGGCUUGUAAUUGCUGGUUGUAGGACUUGGAUUUCAAAGGAUGAGUUGCACUAAAAACUUCAGUACUCUUGUAGUAUUUUUAUCAAUUAAAAAUCCAAGAGACUUUGUCAUGAUCUUCAGAAAUACUAAUCCACCCAUGUAAUCCAUUGCUUAGUCAAUAGUCAGCUGUAACCUAGAUGGAAGUGGAAUAAAUUAUAGCAUACAAGCA